rnacentral:lncRNA from 1 species
GGUGAAAGAAGGGGCCCUUGGGGGUGUAACUUCCGAGUCAAGCAUAUCAACACCUACUCCGUCAUACUCAAAGAAACUUGUCCGUAAAGCUUCGAUUUCCUUCUCUAGAAAAUGCAUUUCCCGCUCCCUCCUCACUAGAAUUUCUUUAAGAAUACUCAUUUCUUCAGCAUCAUAAGCAGUCUUCUCCUCUAUCAUCCUCUGAUAUUGCCUAGCAUCCAUUUCUAUAGAUGCCUUCUCCUCCUGAAGACGUAAUAUCAUGGCCAUGGCCUCAUCAGCAGCGGUGGCAGCAGCACUUCUCUCUUUCUCAAGCUCCAGGUACAAGGCAGCACGAACCGACUGUUCUUCUUCAAGUGCUUGUUCCAAUUGUU